rnacentral:rRNA from 1 species
UGGGGAAUAUUGGACAAUGGGGGCAACCCUGAUCCAGCAAUGCCGCGUGUGUGAAGAAGGUCUUCGGAUUGUAAAGCACUUUCGACGGGGACGAUGAUGACGGUACCCGUAGAAGAAGCCCCGGCUAACUUCGUGCCAGCAGCCGCGGUAAUACGAAGGGGGCUAGCGUUGCUCGGAAUGACUGGGCGUAAAGGGCGUGUAGGCGGUUUACACAGUCAGAUGUGAAAUCCCCGGGCUUAACCUGGGAGCUGCAUUUGAUACGUGUAGACUAGAGUGUGAGAGAGGGGUUUGUGGAAUU